GUAGGAAUCUGAUAAUUGUAUUUUCUACUGCAUAAAACAAAUAGAGAAGGAAAAUAUUUGGAUUAUGGCAGUAUUAUCUUUUCUUUAAUUGUUAUGUGAUUCUUUUCUUUUAAAAAAGGAACUCCAAGAUAAAAGCCAGCCAUCUUUCAAAUGCUUGUUACUUGUUUCAAAAGCUUGUUGCUUUGUUAUGAACUACUAGAUCUAGAAAGAGUGUUCCCCUAGCCAAAAGGAGGAAUCUAAUUAAGUGUGGAGAAGGGCAAAUAUGACCUAAUUUGGUGUUUAGAUUCUUUCUUUUCUGUUGUAAGUAUGAACCUGAAAUUUUAAUGCAUGUUCACAACUUAGAGCUGAAAAAUGAAGAGUCACUGGGCUUUGAACAAGUUCAAGUGGAUGUGUGUGACAAGCCUGAAGCAGAAAUAUAGGGAAGGUAUUAUUUGUGAACUCAGAGUUGCUCUGAGUUUCAUUUUUUUAGCAGAGUGCUCGAUAAGGAUUUAGUUUUCCUGGGACAGACAAGUGCCCCAUUUGGACUGCACAUUGCAUAUUUGUGUAUUGUUAUGCCUCAUACAGCAAAUAGUGGGAUAUGAGAGAAAAAGCAUCUUUUGAAAACAAAGAAUUCUGAGGGUCACUUUUAAAAAGCACGUGUUGAAGGUUCUUAAUGUUAGAAGCUGAAAACUUGUGGAAUUCCUAAUGGUAUUAUUAAGCACAGGCAGCCUGCUGGCCUGCCAAAGCAAUUAGUUAAGUGUGUGUCUCUUCGUUAAGUCAAAGAAGCGGAAGGAAAGAGAGCUGAUUUUUUGCCUCUAGCAAAACGUAUUUUUUUCCAUUGUUGUUUUAGCAGCACAUCAGCAUUUACAUAACAAAUUGUGUGAUAUAGAUUCUGUUGCCUCUUGUUAGGCUGUUGUCAACUGGGCUAAUUUGGAAAUGGGGCUGUCUUUGCAAUGAGAAACAGCCAUCUGCUUUCUUACUAAGAAGAGGCCUUAGAUCUAACCCCCUGAUUUACUCCUGUAAAGCCUCUUAGAAGAAUAUUUCUAGAAUACUAGAACAAGUAUGCACCUGAGUACAACACAUUUCACAAAUGACACUUAAAUCAGUUAUGUCGUCAAAGAGAGCUGUUUUGGGAAGUCAAGAGCAUAACUUAGAACAUUACGCUAUAAAUAUCUUCAUGUAACUGUUGAAUUGCUGCAACUGUAUGAAUUGUAUUUGAUUUUGUAAAACUGCUUAGGAAAUUGACUGAAAACAUGGCAAUCAUAAACCACUGUUUUUAAAUUGUGUACUUAAAAAGUUAGUUCUUUUUUUAACUCCAGAAGAAGAAAACAAAAGUAUAAACUUUAGUUAAAUCAAACUCUCGUAAGGUGUAGCAUUUGUGAAUCUUUCUUUCCUUUUCCUUUUUUCUCUCUUUUCUGUUUCCAGGAUCUCACAUGUAGUUAAUACUGAUUAUUUGGGGUUUUUUAAUCCUACUUCUAAGUUCAAGAAUAUAUGCAGUUAACCAGAGGAUGUGCAUAAGAGAGCAGAACCGUCAGAUAAGUUGGUAUCAGACUCAGUUUUACAACCCUUUUGAAGAAGAAAAUGUUUACAGACUAACUCAUUUUUUACAAAUAUAUGAAAAUAGGAAAAAAUGGGUUUGAAAGUAGGAAAGUUUAGUACACUCAAGUCAAUGCAAGGUCAUGCUUCCUAUUUCAUGUCUCAUAGGAUAAAACCAAAUUUUUUUUUUACAGGACUUAUUACACCAAUAAUUCUUGCAGAAGGCCAUGUAAGAGAAAGACAGUCAUUGCAGGCAGAAAUUUCUGGGUUGCUUAAGAUUUAAGGUGGGUGUGUUUUCAGCCAAAUCUGCCUGCCCCCCCAAAGCCCAAGGAAGGUCAUGCUUCUGCUUCUUAAGGAGGAGAACAGCCUUCCAAAGGCAUCACUCUGCUGCUCUGUAAGAAGUAAAGUGAUUCCUGGUCCUUGCCUCUACAAAUGGCAAAAGUUUCUAGAAGGGCUGCCACAGGGUGUUAAUUUCUGGUCUAUCCCAGCACCUUAAAUUGCCUUUUCCUCAUUCAAGAUCCAUAAGAAAUUCCCUGUGCUGGGUAGCUAUGGGGCUGAGGUCUACACAUACAAAGUCCUUGUUUCUUUUGGACAGAAUAUUCUUAAUGCAGGCAUAAAGCCCACACGUGUAUCAGUCUUCGGUCGAAAGAGAGGCAGCAUUCAUACCUCAGAAAGGUUCAUACUUUUAAAUAAUCUACGUUGUGUUAAUGCUAACAAUCUCAGCUUAGAGAGUCACGGUUACUAGUGACUAUUUUUGCAUUUUACCUGUGUGGCUGCAUGUUCUCAAGGCAUUUCGGUGCAGACAGAUUGAGAAUGAGCCUUUAGUUACCAAGUAACCUCAAUUUCCAGUAUUCAACCAUAGCCUGGCUUGAGGAAUGCCACUCUCCUCGGACCACAGCUCGUCACACUGGCUGCAGGAAAUCCCAGAAUCAGAAUGGGUAAAGUUGGAAAGGACCACAGUGGGUCAUCUGGUCCAACCUGCCUGCUCAAGCAGAGUCUCCUGAAGCAUAUGGCACAGGAUUGUGUCCGGAUGUUUCUUGAAUAUCUCCAGUGAGACGGACUCCACAACCUCUCUGGGCAACAUGUUUCAGUGCAUGGUCACUUGCAUAGUAAAGAAGUUAUUGCUCAUAUUCAGGUGGAACUUCCUGUACAUCAGUUUCCGCCCGUUGCCUCUUGUCCUAUUGGUUGGUACCACCAAGAAGAGCCUGGCUCCAUCCCCUUUUGGGGAUACUUACUGAAAGUAUCAGGAAUACUUCCGGAUACUUACUGAUAAAAUCAAAUUACAAGUAACUGUAACCUGAGCUAAACAGCAGGUAGAGGUAGAGAUUAUCCUCCACCUGUGAAGACCAAAGACAUGGAGUAGCUUGUGGUACAUCACUGUGAAGAGUUUGGGUGGGAACCUCUCAUUUUCUGGAACUAUGUAAAGAAAAAGUAUCUCCCCUUUGCCCCUGGACCAUUAUUCAGAAAUCAUCUAGCUGGCUGAAACUUCACUUUCCUCCAGGAGCAAUAUUGUAGAGAAUUGUAUCUUCUUUAGUGUACAAAAUUGCUCUGACAGCUUAUCACUGCUUGUUUAACAGCUGACUGUUCUCACUUUCUUUAGGAGCUAGAUAAUAAGCACAGUGAAACAAUUAUUGUGCUCCAUUGAUGCGCUAACCCUCAAAGCCUCUUUGCUGUUGAGUUCCAAAAACCAGCUUCAUUCACUCUUAAUUGAGGUUUGUCUUCCAGAGCUUCUGCAGGAUGAUGAUUCUUCAAUCAUAGCAGCCACAAUUAUAUUCACUGAGUCAUGGACAGUUAUUUUCAACAGACCUACCUGUAACGCUUUGGCGUAAGUUAAAGGUGAUGGCUGAAUCUCUUCAUUUUAUCAAAAUUUUGCGCAUAGAAGUGUAGGACUGGAAAAAACAAAACAAAACUGCUGGAUCAGAGUGCAGUCUUCUCUAACUGCAGAAAACAAAGCAAUAGACAUUAAUUUCAGGAUUAGAGAAUACCUCCUUCAUCUCUCUCCACAUACCAAGGCCCACAGGGCCAACUUCCUGUCAAGAUUUGAAAACUUUAAAAUUUUGGUAAAAGAUGAAAAGCUACAGUGAUAGUUGGACUACAAGAACAUCAUAAGAGAGAUCAAGAGUACCACCAAUGUCUUAGAUACUUUCAAAGAUAAAGACUGAACUCCUCGAAAAAUAAUCUUCCACUGUGUUUACAGUUGUGGGGUUUGGUGGUCCAUAUUAAUUCUCUAUUCCUUGGGUUUAUUUAAGGUAAAGCAGAAUGUCAACCUCUUUUCAGUUACCUCAAGAAACAGAUAACAUGAAGUUUCAUUUCCCUCGGGUCUCCUUUAAUUCUGUUUAAUAGACCUAAAGCUGUCCAACAAUGGUUUGCCAUAUCCUGGGCUGCAUCGUUUUUAGCAGAACUCUCUUCCAGCUCAUGUUUGUGAGCUCAAAAAUGUAAGUCACAGACAUCCUAACUGAGGAUGCAGGUUGCUCUGUAAUUAAUCCUGGAAGGGGCACCAGGAAGCCAAAUAGAAUCCAUCAAUCUAAAUUUAGUUGUUAAAAGUCUGGAAAAAUACCUCAUACUUUUAGAGUUCCAUGAGAAUUAUCUGCUCAGCCCUGGAAGUAGUUCUAGGAAAAGGCUGAGUUUACUUGAAAUGCAACUCAAACACACUUGAAUCCUUCAACAGCCACUUCAAAACAGAGAAGGCUCUUGGCACUGUGUCUGAUGGAGCAGAAGGUCUGUGCUGAACCUCGCUUGUAGGCAACUCUGUGUACUACUGCUCUCUACUUGUGGGAGCUGCACUCUGUUGUGCAACCAAAACACCUGCCUAAGUGGUCAGCUGGAUCUUCCUCAUUCCAAGACUCUUCUCUGCUACAUGGGGUGGCAGUGUUGGCUAUGCUUUCUGGGAGGACCUAUUUUGGGAACAGCCAUACUCCAGGAAGCCGCUGGGACUUACCAGCCCCUGGGAGGAUGCUGAGAGCAGAUAAAAUUGAAACAGCUUGCAAGGAGUUCUGUGGCACUGCUGAGAACCUGGCUCAGAUUAUCACCUGGACUCAGCUUGGCCUUGUGGAAUCUAUCUUUGGAAGCAGUGGCGGCAGUGCUGGAGUCAGUGUUGUGCAGCUACGAAGGAUGGAGCUGUCAAAGUGGAUUUGGAGCUGGAUUUGAAGAUCGGUUUAAAUUUGUAAAUUUAAAAGUGGAGAAGUAUGCCCACAGGUUUCCAAUAAAAAAAAUGGAGACAUCACUUUUGGUACAUCCUCUGGACUUUAAAACUUCAUUGGC